rnacentral:lncRNA from 1 species
AUGUAGAAGAAUGAUAAAAGAUGUAUGAGAACAAUAGUAAAAAUUCAGUGAUUAUUCCAGAGGGUCUAACAAGCAAAUAAUAGGCAUUUCAGCAAUUCAGAAUAGAGAAAAUGUAGGGAAGAAAAUGAUCAGACAAUUCAAGAUUUAUAAGGACUGAAAAGAGUUUCCAGUUUGAAAGGGCUCAUUCAGUAUUCAAUCCAAUGUGUAAAAAAAAUGCUCUGGGAAGGCACAUGAACAUAAACUUUGUUUUGUUUUUGCAGUGCUGGGGAUGAAUCCAGGGGCUGCAUAUCUGUAAAUGCUCCACCACUAAGCUGCACCCCAAAUUCAUGAAUAAAUUCUUAAAUCCUCUAAAUAAGAAACAGGUAACAGAAAAAGGAUACAAAAUCAGAAUAGCAACAAUAGAUGUUACAAAAGCAAUGUUGUAGUCCUUUAAAAUUGAGAAGGAAAAUAAUCCCCAAUGUAAAUUCUAUCAUCUAGUUUAAGCAUUGUGUCCCCGGCAAUUCCUAGGGUAUCCUUCAGCCCCAAGCUGAAGUAUUAGGAGCUGAGGCUUCUGGAAGGUGGUUAGGUCAUGAGGGUGGAGCCUUUUUCUCAUACACUGAUCCUUUGCACAAGAUUCGCCACAUUUUGCCAUAAGCCUUAAACAACAUCCAGCUUUUCAAAGUAUUUACAUACAUAAAACAGAAUGGAAGAGAGGAAAAGAAGGGAAAAAAAAGGAGGAAGAGAGACUAUGGCAGAUGAUCUUGGUUGUCAAUUUAACUGGAUUCAGAGAUGCCUAGAAGAUUAGGAGAGCACACUUCUGGGCGUGCCUGUGAGGGUGUCUCCAGAGAUGAUUUGCAUGUGGGUCAACCAACUGAGAGGGAGACCUGCCCUGAAUGUGGGCAGCCCUUACCAAUAGGCUGGGGACCCAGAUGGCAUAAAAAGAAGAAGGGGAAGCCUGCCAUCGUGCACAAGCUUGAUUCUUCGUAAGCAGGUGCAUCAGACCCCAGCUUCUUCAAAUUCUCAAGAUGGACUUAUAUGAACGACUCUCCAGGGAGAUUCUAGGAAGGCUUCAGCCUCAGACUGAGGCUGCACCUUUGUCCCUCUUGUUCUGAGGCUUGGACUGAGCAACUGCUCAUUUCUAUGGCUCCCUGCCUAGAGAUGGCCACUGUGGGACGAAUCAGCCUUGGACCAUGCGAGUCAAUAAUAAACCUCUUUUUGUAAUUAUGUACACUUCCUAUGGUCCUGUUCCUCUAGUGGAUCCUGACUAAUACAGAGAGAAAAGGGGAAGAGGAGGAGAGAGAGAGGGACCUGAUAAAUUAGUUCCUAUUAAGCUAAUUACGAUCCAUAACAGUUUAGUGAAUUCCCUUUCCCAAGAGCAUUCACAUUUUAAAAGGUGGCGAGAAACACCAUUUACACUUUAACCCACAGAACUGAGCCAGGCCCUGUAAUGAGGAAAUGGGGGCUAUGUGUGGAGCCACAUAAUCUGGGGAGAUUACCCACCAUUCCAAGCCACAAGCAGAAGAAUGUAAAGACACUGGCUAGCUGGAGAAGAGAAAGUGAGAGAACAGCACAGUGAACACUGCUUUCUUGGACCUGAGGAUAUAGCUCAGUAGUAGAGUGCUUACCUGGUAUGUGCAAGGCCCCAGGUUAAACCCCAGCACUGCAAAAGACAGAAGAAGGUGGGGCAGGGUGGGGGGACUGCUUUGUUAACCAACAGAUCCGUAGAGACUCUGAGUCUGCUGUAGAGAAUAUUGAAACAAUGAAUCUGACCAUGAGCUUGGGAAGCACCUAGACUGACCAGGGAAGAAAUGGGGUGCAAGCAGGAAUAAAGUUGGAAACAAUGUCUUGUGUUUAUUAGUUUUGGGGUGGUGGGUAUCUAUCAAGAAAGAUCUGGACAUUCAAACUGAGAACACCAGCUCCAACAUGGAACACUGCCUGAGGAUAAUUCUGAAUCCUUGGUGAAUCAUGCACCCUGUACAAAGGACCAGGAUAUGAGAAGUAUGCUCCGAUGUUGUUUGUGGACGUGUUGAUGGGUACCCCCUCAUGGAAAAUAACGUAGUGACUGAGCCAGUUUACACCUUUGAUGCAGUUGAUUCACUCCUGGUACUGCAUAUUGAAGCAAUAAAUUUGAAAUAUAGGUAGAUUUUCCCAUG